GACGAACGCUGGCGGCGUGCUUAACACAUGCAAGUCGAACGGUGAAGGGGUGUGCUUGUGUGUGCCCUGGUUGAGUGGCGAACGGGUGAGUAACACGUGAAUAACCUGCCCCCGUCUUCUGGAUAACCGCAUGAAAGUGUGGCUAAUACGGGAAAUUCUGGGUCUGUCGCGUGAUAUGUUUGGGAAAGAUUGCGCCUUUGGGUGUUUAUGGUGGGGGGUGGGCUCGCGGCCUAUCAGCUUGUUGGUGGGGUGAUGGCGUACCAAGGCGGUGACGCGUAGCGGGCCGGUGAGGGGGGACGGUGGCACUGGGACUGGGACACGGCCCAGACGCGUACGGGCGGCAGCAGUGGGGAAGAUAGCAGAGAGAGCGCAAGCCUGAAGCAGCGAGGCCGCGAGGGAGGUGGUGGGAUUCGGGUUGUAAGCCUCUUGCGCCAGUGAAGCAGGCAUGCUCCUAGUGGGGGGGUUGACGGUAGCAAGAUAAGAGGCGCCGGCUAACUACGUC
rnacentral:rRNA from 1 species